AAAUCCACACUUUUCCCAAAAUUGCCCUCGACGUUACCCUAGACGUCACUGUUAGGAUUCGUAAUAAAGACUUCUAUUCAGUCAAUUUUCGUUCCGUAGCGGUUGCUAUAGGGUACAGGGGUAAGCAGCUGGGAUACGUCACCUCCGAUUAUGGUAAAAUUAGGGCCAGGGCGUCUUCUUACAUCAAUGCUACGCUGGAGCUCAACGAUAUUAGCAUUUUCUCUGAUAUUAUUCCAUUAAUUGAGGACUUGGCGAGAGGUUCUAUUACUUUUGAUACUGUGACUCAGAUUGGCGGUGAUCUAGGUUUAUUCCUCUUUGAUAUUCCCAUAAAGGUAUGCUACUCCAACUCUCUGUUGCUAUUGCAUUUACUUAGUUACUUACUAACAUUUUACUAUAAAGACUUCUAUUCAGUCAAUUUUCGUUCCGUAGCGGUUGCUAUAGGGUACAGGGGUAAGCAGUUGGGAUACGUCACCUCCGAUUAUGGAAAAAUUAGGGCCAGGGCGUCUUCUUACAUCAAUGCUACGCUGGAGCUCAACGAUAUUAGCAUUUUCUCUGAUAUUAUUCCAUUAAUUGAGGACUUGGCGAGAGGUUCUAUUACUUUUGAUACUGUGACUCAGAUUGG
rnacentral:lncRNA from 1 species